GCAGCGGGGAGCCAAGGAGGUCCAGAGCAGGGUGAGGGGCUGAGAGGUGUCUGGGGCGAGUCCCCGGCCUUGGGCUGGCACCAGGCGACGAGGGUGGGCAGAGGAGACUCAAGGCCGCCCCAGGCGGGGAUGGGGGCUGUUGGGAGACUCGGCCUUGUCCACGUAAGCGUUUCCUGGCUGGAUAAUUAGCCUAAGUCCACCCAGAAUGUUUGGACGAGCAUGUUGGUAUUCACGGGGGGGAGGCAGAGGUGGGCGGAGUGGGCGCUGUCAGCCGCUGAGGGCUGGCCCUGGCACCCUGCCCUCUCUUCCCCCUUCCUGCCGCCCUGGUGUGGCCUCCAGAGCCCUGCGCAGGGCUCACCUCCUCCAUGAAGCCUCCCAGGCCCCACCCGGGCUGCACUUAGGGACCCUCUGGCCCCCCGGAACUUGCCUCCCUGCUCUGCUGGCACAAUCUGAAAGCUGCGAGUCAAGUAGUCCCUGGCCGUCAAGCUGUCCUCCAUUUCUCCCGGCUCCAGCACAGCACACCCUGCCCUUCCUUGUCCUCUGUUUAACUACUCUGGCCCAUUCCCUACAGCCCAAGGUCAAGGCCCUGACCCCUUUGCGGCCUCAAGGCCCUUCAGGAGUUAUCCCCAACUACCUCUCUGGCCUCCCCUCCUUCCAGCCUCCUUAACUCUGUAGGUGCCACUCCCUUUGCCUGGUUGCCUGGGCCUCCCUUUUCGACCUGGGGAAAAUCCUACUGUAAGUCCUGGCCACCUCCACCUGGAAGCCCUCUCAGAUCUAUCACGUUUGGUGAGUCACAGCAGUUUCCCUCCCUCCUUCCUUUCCUUCUCUCGGCAAAUAUUUACUUCGCAGCGUCUGUGCCGAGCCCUGUAUAGGAGCUGAGAACUCCGAAGAGAGCAGGACAAGGUCUCUGCCUCCAUGAAAUUGACAUUCUGGGCAAGACAGUUGAUACAUGUGAGAUCAGGAGGAGGUAAGCGCCUUGAAGAAACAUAAGGCUGGGUCAGGGGACAGGGAGGGAUUGGGGUGCGGCCAGGGAAGGCCUCCAGGACAGAGGAAUUUGAUCCGAGGCCUGAAUGAAGUGAGGGAGCAGAGAUUCUGGCAGAGUGGCCUGGAGGCCAGGGGCGGGAGGUGCUCCGUGUGUUCCCACAGCACAGCUCUGUGGCCUGUUUUGCAUUGUGUUGCCACAAGUGUAGUUACUCAAGGCAAGGAGUGUCUCAUUACUCUCUGAAUCUACCCAGGAGCCCGGCUCUGUAUUGGGCACAAGAGGGCCAUUGGCACAUGCCUGCAGGACGGCAGAUGAAUGAAUGUGUGAACCAAGGGAGAAAUGAGUGAAUUCCUGGACCUGUGCUGGGCACUGUAGAGAGUCUGUCCCCAGCUGCCCCAGUAAAUGUGGACAGAGCCUUAACUUCCAGCCACAGUGCUCUGCAUCCCAAGAGCUCCAUCCCUGGACUCCCAUCCCUCAAGCCGGAAACUGACCACCUGGAAGCCUCUAGGGAGCCCGCCCUGCUGGCACCGUUGUUCUUCUUUCCUGGCUGUGCCAACAGCGAGAGGCAAAACGUGCGUUUAGCAAAGAUGGCGUUUCAUACAGAGGAGAAUCAGGCCUCAGACUUUUCUGUUGUCAAGCUUGUCAAAAGAAGAGUCUACACACCCUUCCGCGCUCCCUCAGUUCACUCCGGGCAGAUUUCUGACACUGAACCUGCUCCCUCAGCACGGCCUUGUGGAGAUCUCCAAGGACUUCCACGUUGCCAGAUCCAUUGGGUGCAAUUAAACAUUCAUCGGCCUUGCCCUCUGAGUCCCUAACAGGCCAGUUACCAUCUCACUCCUUCGUCAGCCCCUUUCUCUUGUUCAGAGACCCUGAUCUGCUGGUCAUCCUCCUUCGCUGCCCCUCCGGCCACUUCUUUUCCCUUUGCAGGUUUUCCUACCUCCUCCAUCUGACCACUAAAGGCUAGAGGUCUUCUGGGCUCUGUGUUGCGUCCUUGUUUUCCUUUAAAUCCUUUUAGUAUAGAACAUUUCAAACAUACAUUAAAAGUAGAAAGAAUAGUCUAAUGAACCCCUAUGUACUCACCCAUUCUCAACACUUACCAAAUUAUGGUCUAAAUAUUCAUAACAUUCGUAAAUAUUAACUCCUCUCCCCUGGUUUAUUUUUAGGCAAAUUCCACACUUCAUAUUAUUUUAUAUGUAAACAUUUCAGUAUAUUUAAAAGACAAGGACCCCUUUAAAAACAUAGCCUUGAUAUCAUUAACACACUUAAAGGCUGUGUAACUAUAACUGGUUAGUCCUUUUUGGUUCUGUCUCUUUAGAAAUCUCAUUGACACCAUGGGCUUAAAUAGCCUCCGUAGGCCAAAGAUUCCCAGGCUUAAAUCUUCAAUCUAGACCUCUCUUUCAGCUCUAAAGUCUCAUUUCUAAUUCUCUGCUUGACAUUUCCACAUGCAGGGCUCAGAAGCAUCUCAGAUUUAACGUGUCCAAAACAGAACUCAUGAUUUCUACCCUAACCCAGCUCCUGCUCUGGGAGACCCUAUCUUGGUAAAUGGCAUCGGUGUCUGCCCAGAUGCCCUCAUUGUUCUUCACACCUCCUUCACCCUCACGCCCUCCUCCAAUCCAACAGCAGGUCCUGUAACUUCUUCCACCCAAAUAUACUUAAAAUAUGCUGACAAUCCACUUCUUUCUAUCUCCACAGCCAAACCAAGCCACCACCUGCUCUUGCCUGCACUGCAAGAGCCUUGUAACAGGUUUGUGUCUCUCACUUGCAUCUCUGCUGACACUCCGCUGCACAUGAGCAAGUCUGUGCUGGGCAGUAAUAUAUCAGAAUACUUUCCUUCCAGUUAGUAAAUAAUCACUCUCCUUGGCCACUCCCCACACCAGAGCUCCACCCCCCAACCCCCACCCCCGCACCCUACGCCCUCCCUCUGUCCAUCCAAUAAACCAAGCCUGGCCAAGCAAGGGGCCUCAGAGACCUUGCUAUAGUUUGGGUCCUUGUGCUCAAAUACUUAAACCUUCACAUGGUAUUGUGAUGACCUAAGACUUCAGGUAACUUCCCUCAUGAGAGUCAAGGGAAAGAUCCAGAGAACUUCUGCUCUCAUACUCUUCAACAGCCAAGAUAAUAUAUUAAAAAAAAAAUGUGAACUUGCCUUUGAGGUGGGGGAGUAGUGACUGGGAGGGGAGAUGAGAGGAACUUUUGGGGUGUUGGUAAUAUUCUGCUCUAGAUCUGGGUGGUGGUUACAUAAGUAUGUUCACUUUGUGAAAAUUCAACUGGGCUGGGUUCUUACAAUUUGUGUACUUUUCUAUCUAUCGGUUAUAUUUCGAUAGAGUUUUCUUAAAAUAUGUCAGACAGAAUUUUCCUGUGGUUUUGGCCCAAGAGGGCAGUUGUCUCUUAAUCUUACCUUUUCUCUUGCUCACAUCCUCUCCAGAGGCUUCUGCAGGGAAGAGGGCUCCUGCCAUCCAGGACCGGCCUUGCAGCAGUCAUGCCACAGGUCACCACCAGGGGCGCUGUGCCAGACUCCAAUUGUUCGGUGGAUGGAUAGGGUAGAACAGCCCUCUUCCCCCCUGUUACUCUCUCCCUUCAGCCUCCACGAGAUCAACUCCUCCAGUCUAUUCAGGCAACAGUGAAUUUCUUACCCAGGAGUUAGGAGAGCUUCUGGAAUUGAUGAGCUCCAGGACUAAGAUCUGAGUUCUGGCUAAUCUGCACUUCCCCUUGAAUCUCACUGCGGGAGACACCUAAAGACUCAGGCCCAUAAAAUAAAGCCAUGAAAAGAUGCUCAGUCUCACUGCUAAUAAAGGAAAAUGCAAAUUAAAAUCUCAGAGAGACACCGUUUCGUUUUGCUUGGCAAAAACUUAAAGGCUGAUAAUACCAAGUGUAGGCAACUAUGUGGAGAGUUCAAAGUUCUACAGGUGGGAGUAUGAAUCGGUAGAACCACUUUGGAAAGAAGUUUGGCAACAGUCUGAAGAAUUGAAGAUGCUCCUGCCCCAUGACUCAGGCAUCCCACUUCUAAGUCUAGUAGUGCAGAGGAGUGUGGGAGCCUCGCUGGUACAAGAAUCUUCUUACAAGGUCAUUUCUAACAUUAAAAAAUACAAAACAACCAGAAAAUAAAAUUUUGAAAUUGUGUCCUAUUUAUAUAGAAGUUAAAACAAAUGAACUGCAGUUCACAUGUAUCAACACAGAUACAAACAAAGGCAAAAUGUUGAGUGGAAAAAACAAGUGCACAAGGAAUGUCCAGUGUGAUUCCAUUGGGAAAAAGUUUCAGGACAUGAAAAUCAGCACUGUAAGAUGUGUAUGGAUGCAGACAUGUGUAUUAAAAGUAUCAAAAUGCUCAUGGGAAUGAUAACACCAGUUUCACGAUAGUGGUUUCUGCUGGGGAAAGGGGAAUGAUACGCAGGAAACUUCAGCUCAUCUGUUGUUCCAUUUCUUAAAAGUGAAAAUCUGGAGGAAAGAUGGCUCAGCAUUAAGUGUGAUAAAGCCAGGUAGUAGGUACAUUUUUCUUUUCUAUCCUUGUCUGUACGUUUGGUAUGUUUUCCAAUAGAAUCGAUCAAUUAAUGAAAAAAGCUACUUAGGCCUCCCCAGGGGAAGAGGGCAUGAAGGCUCCCUCCCACUCCAAAUGGUUCACCUGUCCCACGGUUGAGCCUUUGCUCCCAGCACCGUCCUCCCUUCUUCCAGGCACUUAGGUGGAAAACUCUAAAGCACAAUGUGGAAAAUUCUACCCUUCCCCCAGGCCAAGCUUCUCUCCCAGAGUCCUGUCCUCAACACUGCAUCAUACAUCUGAGCCUUUGGUCUGGGUAGUGGCCCAACUUCAGCCUGACGUAAGGAAACAUGGUGUUUAGGAGCCAGACUACCUGGGUCUGAGGGCUGCCUCUGCCACUUGACUGAGGGGCCUUGGAUGAGUUACUCUGAUUCUUUGUGCUGUAGGGUGGAGGGAGCACGGCUGGAGGAGAGGGUCACCAGGUGGCUGGCCAGGUGAGCAGGGGCAGCUCAGGGGGCUGGCGACCCUCAUCCUAUGUGGAAAUAGGCUACUUCCCACAGGGUGACCAGAUCUUAUUUAUAUGUGGCAACAGGAAAUGGCAACCCUCUGUCCACCCACCCCAAACCACGGGGGAGAUUGAAUUAUUUUAGCAUCAGUUCUUUCUAUUUCAAGUCUAACAUGCAAGUAAUGGAGUGCUGGCCAUCACUGGUUCACUCUCAGAGAUUCUUCCUCAUUGAACCUGACACCGCCAUACCAAAGACAGAGGUCCCGGCCAUGGGAUGGAAGAAUCCAUGGCCCCAGAUUGAGUUAUGGGCUCUGAUAACUCUGUCUUGAAGUUUGAGGAGUUUCACAUCUUAUAGUAAAGGGGCAGAGUUGGAAAGCCCACCCAGGUCUGAUGCCUCCCCAAGCAGUGCUCCCUCCUCUAUAGCAGUGCUGUGCCACUCCACAGUCCACUUAGCACGGGGGCCCCUGUAAGAGAUGGACUCAGGGGCCAGGGCAGGUUUAAGGGGCCUAAUAACAAGAUGUAACCUUAGUAGGGAGAGAGAAGUGCUUUCCUUAGCUCUGAAGGUGUGCAGAGGAGCUACAAAGUCAAGGCCAACUUCAGAGGCAGGUGGAAAGGUCAGCUCAAGGCCUGGGCUUGGAAUGACUUAGGUGGUUCACCUAAGGUGAAUCUUGGAAGAAGAUGGGUGGGGCAUGGAGAAUUGUAAAAUCACAGAGAUUGCUAUUGUCUAUCCGUUUUCCUCUAAUAACAGAAUCCCCCCUUCCUUUUUUUAAGCUAGGCACUUGGCUGCCCAACAUAAAAACUACAUUUCCCUGUCUCCCUGGCUAUGUGAAUAAGUUCUAGCCAAUGAGAUGCAAGCCAAAGUGGAGAAGUGUUCUCAUAGAGAAGAGGUAUUCCUUGUUCUUCCUUUUUUCUUCUUUUGUUCCCUGGAGAGCAGAAGUGUUGGCUGGUGUUGGAGCAGCAAUCUUGGGUUUUGAAGUGACCAUGUAAGCUGUACUAAUGGGACCACAAGAUAGGUGCCUCCUCCUCACAGCACUGUGGGGUGUCAUACCAGCCAGUCCUCCUACCUGUGGACUUUUGUGUGAGAUAGAAAUAGUUUCUACUUUGUUUAAGCCACGGUUCCUGUGGAGUUUCUGUCACCGAAUCCCAAAAUUACAAAGAAGACUACUAUUUUCAGUUUUUUGAUAAUUCUUCUGCUUGCCUUUUGGUGCUGGUCUGUCAUGGAUAGCUUUCCAACCUUUGCUACAUUUUCCCUGUUUUAGCAAAGAGAGAACAGAACUCACUCAGGCUCAGGCCCUUGGCAGGCACCAACAUCUAAAUGUAAUCUAUUGACAUUGUUUUGUUUCUAUGGUUUUUAUUUUUAGGUUACCAUUUAAUUAAGGUAAAGGACACUGCUUUUUCAUUUACAAUAGUGACAUGAGAUCACUUUCCUUUUUAAAUAAUUUACUUAAGCAAAAACAAUUGAGUCGAUUUAAAAGGUAUUAAGUGACUGAGAGCGCAGGUUCUAUCAGCCACGGCAGAAAUCAAGGAGGUAGCUGGAGGAUGACUAAAGCUUGGAAAACAAGGGUAUAGAUUUUGCUGCUUCAGAGAGAAUUAUAUAAACAUUUCCUCCCCCAGUAUUUUUUGGUUUUCAUUUUGGAUGAUUCAAAGUAUUCUUGUAAUGGGGUUUCCUAAUUCCUCAAGACAAUAAUUUAGUAAACACUCCCAGAGACCGUGCAUAGUAGUUAAAGAGUCUGAGUGCUGAAGUCAAACUCCCUGGGUUCAGUUCUUGGCUCCUGCAAUGACCAGCUGUGUGACCUUGGGCAAAUUACUGUAAUUCUCUGUGUCCAACAUCUCACCUGUAAAAUGGAGUUGAUGAUGUUAUUGGGAGGAUUAAAUGACACAUUGUAUGUAGAAUUCUGAGCUGAGUAUCUGGCCUACAUGAAGAUGUAAUAAAUGGCUGCUGUUAUUAUUACUGUUAUGUCUGACUUGAACACGUCAAGAAAUCAGUGUCGAAAGCUUUAUAUUAAGCCCUUGGGAGUUGAAUAACUCUGUCCCGAUGCUCAAGAAGGUUUACAUUUUAAAGGGAAGGUUUAUCUCAGUUUUUCUAUUAAUGUCCUUUUUCUGUUCUAGGAUCCAAUUCAAGACACCACGUUGCAUUAAUCUUCACAUUUACCUUAGUUACCUCCAAUCUGUAAUAGCUCCCUACUUUUUCCUUGCCUUUCAUAACCUUGACACUUUUUAGGAAUACUGGUCUGAUAUUUUGCAGAAUAUCCUGCAAUCUGGACUAGUCUAAUGCUUUCUCACAAUUAAAGUGAUGAUCUUGGGGAGGAAUACUACCGAGGUGACUUGUCCUCAUUACAUCAUAUCAGAGGGUACGUGGUGUCAAUGUCUUACUACUGGUGAUGUUAACCUUGAGCAAUUGGUUCGGGGGUGCCUGCCAGGUGUCUCCACUAUACAGUUAGUAUUUUUUUCUUUUUAUACUCUAUUUGUUAGAUGAAGGUCUAAAUCCAGCCCACACUCACAGAGAGAAAAAUUAAAGUCUCCUUCCUGGAGGGAGAAGUAUCUAAGAAUUUGUGAACAUAUUCCACCACAGGAAUUAAUAAAUAUUUGAGGAAGAUAUUUUGAAACUGUACUCUGUUUUGUCUUAGACCUUCACCCACAACUUUUAGCAUUCAUUGGUGAAUCUUGCCUUCAACCAUUGUUACUGUGAUGUUCUCAUGGUGGUUUUCUAUUUCCUUCUUUUGUUCUACAUUGAUUAGUUGGAAUUCUUAUGAAGGAGGAGUUGUCUCAUCCCCCACCCCAUUUACUUAUUUAGUCAACAAUUAAUUUAUAUCAGUAUGGAACAAUAAAUAUUUAUUAUAUCAUUUGGGAUAUAAUUCAAUAGUAAUGUAUUAGGAGCCCUUUCACAGUGGCUUGUGUCCUUUGGUAAGCCCCCAUAAUUAUUUUUGAGCACUUCCUUAAUUUUUGAUACCACAAGAUGCUCAAAAUUCAUCUUUUGUUUCCUCUGCCCUAGCCCUGGGAUCAACCAUUUCUCCAAGGACCCCUGUUCCUUUCAUUAGAGAAUGAUAUUUAGAAACCAAGAUCUGGGCACUAGGUGUGCUCAUUGCUAUGGGAGUGUCAUUGUUUCCAAAUCCUCUCAAUGAAUAGAGUUAGGAAUAUA